CAGGUAACAUCAAAUCGUACCCCAAACCGACACAGGUGGUCAGGUAGAGAAUACCAAGGCGCUUGAGAGAACUCGGGUGAAGGAACUAGGCAAAAUGGUGCCGUAACUUCGGGAGAAGGCACGCUGAUAUGUAGGUGAAGUCCCUCGCGGAUGGAGCUGAAAUCAGUCGAAGAUACCAGCUGGCUGCAACUGUUUAUUAAAAACACAGCACUGUGCAAACACGAAAGUGGACGUAUACGGUGUGACGCCUGCCCGGUGCCGGAAGGUUAAUUGAUGGGGUCAGCGCAAGCGAAGCUCUUGAUCGAAGCCCCGGUAAACGGCGGCCGUAACUAUAACGGUCCUAAGGUAGCGAAAUUCCUUGUCGGGUAAGUUCCGACCUGCACGAAUGGCGUAAUGAUGGCCAGGCUGUCUCCACCCGAGACUCAGUGAAAUUGAACUCGCUGUGAAGAUGCAGUGUACCCGCGGCAAGACGGAAAGACCCCGUGAACCUUUACUAUAGCUUGACACUGAACAUUGAGCCUUGAUGUGUAGGAUAGGUGGGAGGCUUUGAAGUGUGGACGCCAGUCUGCAUGGAGCCGACCUUGAAAUACCACCCUUUAAUGUUUGAUGUUCUAACGUGGACCCGUGAUCCGGGUUGCGGACAGUGUCUGGUGGGUAGUUUGACUGGGGCGGUCUCCUCCUAAAGAGUAACGGAGGAGCACGAAGGUUGGCUAAUCCUGGUCGGACAUCAGGAGGUUAGUGCAAUGGCAUAAGCCAGCUUGACUGCGAGCGUGACGGCGCGAGCAGGUGCGAAAGCAGGUCAUAGUGAUCCGGUGGUUCUGAAUGGAAGGGCCAUCGCUCAACGGAUAAAAGGUACUCCGGGGAUAACAGGCUGAUACCGCCCAAGAGUUCAUAUCGACGGCGGUGUUUGGCACCUCGAUGUCGGCUCAUCACAUCCUGGGGCUGAAGUAGGUCCCAAGGGUAUGGCUGUUCGCCAUUUAAAGUGGUACGCGAGCUGGGUUUAGAACGUCGUGAGACAGUUCGGUCCCUAUCUGCCGUGGGCGCUGGAGAACUGAGGGGGGCUGCUCCUAGUACGAGAGGACCGGAGUGGACGCAUCACUGGUGUUCGGGUUGUCAUGCCAAUGGCACUGCCCGGUAGCUAAAUGCGGAAGAGAUAAGUGCUGAAAGCAUCUAAGCACGAAACUUGCCCCGAGAUGAGUUCUCCCUGACCCUUUAAGGGUCCUGAAGGAACGUUGAAGACGACGACGUUGAUAGGCCGGGUGUGUAAGCGCAGCGAUGCGUUGAGCUAACCGGUACUAAUGAACCGUGAGGCUUAACCUUACAACGCCGAAGGUGUUU
rnacentral:rRNA from 1 species